rnacentral:rRNA from 1 species
ACCCGCUGAAUUUAAGCAUAUCAAUAAGCGGAGGAAAAGAAACCAACAGGGAUUGCUCUAGUAACGGCGAGUGAAGCAGCAAUAGCUCAAAUUUGAAAUCUGGCGUCUUCGACGUCCGAGUUGUAAUUUGUAGAGGAUGCUUCUGAGUAACCACCGACCUAAGUUCCUUGGAACAGGACGUCAUAGAGGGUGAGAAUCCCGUAUGCGGUCGGAAAGGUGCUCUAUACGUAGCUCCUUCGACGAGUCGAGUUGUUUGGGUAUGCAGCUCUAAAUGGGAGGUAAAUUUCUUCUAAAGCUAAAUAUUGGCCAGAGACCGAUAGCGCACAAGUAGAGUGAUCGAAAGAUGAAAAGCACUUUGGAAAGAGAGUUAAAAAGCACGUGAAAUUGUUAAAAGGGAAGGGAUUGCAACCAGACUUGCUCGCGGUGUUCCGCCGGUCUUCUGACCGGUCUACUCGCCGCGUUGCAGGCCAGCAUCGUCUGGUGCCGCUGGAUAAGACUUGAGGAAUGUAGCUCCCUCGGGAGUGUUAUAGCCUCUUGUGAUGCAGCGAGCGCCGGGCGAGGUCCGCGCUUCGGCUAGGAUGCUGGCGUAAUGUCGUAAUCCGCCCGUCUUGAAACACGGACCAAGGAG